ACCAAAUGCAGAAGGAUGUCCAAUGCAGUGUUUUCUAGAAACAAUGAACUCUUGGGAACUUAAGGAAAGAAGGCUGAGAACGUUCUUCGGCGGCUAAGUGGUGCCCUCUCCUUGGGGUCAUCAUCUGUCUGUGACAACGGAAUCCCUCGGGGAGUGAACCCCAGCUCACAUCUGGGCUGGGGUGCAACUGUCCAGCAGACAGGAGACCCGUCCCGCCCCUUAAACAGCUCCUACUACGCACUGGGCUCAGAGUUAUUGAAUGAACUGAGCAAACUCCCUCCUUGCCCUCCAGGAGCUCCUGGUCUGCUGGGGGCUGUGAAGGAGCAAACGGAUGAUUUGAA